GUGGGUAGAGGUGUGUGUGCAGGGUGUGUGGGGUGUGAGGCGAUGGGGGAAUGAGCUGCGUGCGGGCUGAAGGCCAGUGGAGGGGUGUGGAUGUUGUUGUAGUACAUCACUGGGCCUGACAACACCAACUGGAGCAAACUGGGAAAAAAGGAAGGACACAAAGUGAUUAAAACUUAUAGAAAUAACACAUACGCAUUGUGUUAAAAUGUUUGAAAUCUGAUACUGUAUCACUGGACUACUCUACAUGUCCACCAAACCCAGAGAUUAAAAUGUAAGUUAUUUAAAAAGUGUGCUACAAAUGAAUUCCCUUAGUUAACGCUAUUCAUGAACAGCAGGUGUAAAAAACCGAUAUCCUUUUGUUUGCCUACAAAAACUACGUUGUGGUAACGAACGCAUGUUGUCGUAUCCUAAUGAUCAUCUCUGUCAUGCACAGAUUCAGACGUGACUUCCUUCUCCAAGCUCGCGAGCCGGAAGGCACAGAAGACAGACAGUGGGUCCGGGGCUGCAGCUCUGCAGCUCUCCUUCUCUAUAGUGAUAGCCGAAACCGGGUAACCAUGGAAACGUUUAAAAGCCUCUACGUCUGUACCACUUUCAUCUCAUCUGUUCACAAUCUUACCUCUCGAGCAGAGCAGAGCUCCAUUGGCCAUGGCCACCUGCAGGGCCUGUGCCAGCCGCUCCAGGGCCAGCUGAGACAGUACACGUGAAUCUGCGGAUGACGCGUGUGUGUGUUUGUCGGCCUGGUCCAACAGCCUGGAGAGGUCUGAGCUCAGUGAGGCCAGACACUCCAUCUGGAGCAGCGCCAGGCGACCGAAAAGCCCCUUCUCAUUUAGUAUGUUUGGCAAGAGCAUGAGAACCUAAAUGUGACGGGAGACAGACAAUGGCUUGAUUAUCUUCACUGUGUAUGUUGGAGAUGUUUUGCAUAGUGCAUUUAAAUAUGGACUGUAUGUAAAUGUAUCUCCACACACCUGUAGGACACUCAGAUGGAGCGCAGAGAAAAGAGGCCCAACCUCUGGCUCACUCUCAGUGGUGCCAUUGGUUAACGCCUGCUUCUUGUCUCUCCUGUAGGCCAGGGGGGCUUUGACGCACCAGCGCAUCAACCCCCCUAAAGGUGUGACAUCAAGUGAGCUGAUUGGCUGAUUGCCAGAGAGGGGCGUGUUCAGGAAGUUGAUUAGGACUAGACGAGGGUCAUCUUGGAUCCACGACACAAUCAUCUGGAGGAGUUCUAAAGGAGGGGUGAGCUCCUCUGAACACAAACACGCAAAGAUGUUGUUCAGAUGAUACAAGGAUGCAAAACAUUCCGAACAAACAUUCCAGGGACGUUUUCCAUCAUUUAUUUUGCCUUUCUGGAAUUUGUCUCAAGUUUGUGAAAAAUGUCAACUUUUGUGGCAGAUUCCGGACACACCGUAUCCCAGAAUGAGCGAAUGAGUUGAUGGUCAAAUUGUGUAAUUGUAUAAUUAAAAAGAAAUUAGUUCAACACAUUCUGAAUUUGAGUAAUGUUAUUUUGCUAAAACUAACUUAGCAUAGCCUCAACCACCUAAAUCAAAGUUAAAGAAAAGUUGUUCAUUAUAACAUUUAUUUAUUCUAUUAUUGUGUUCUAUUGGUCUUGUUUCUGUCUCGGUAACGUUCACACUAGGGGGCGUACACCGUACACGUUCAGAAUUAUGGUCACAAAACACAAUUGUGUGGAAACGAGGCGCAAGCCAUUUAACAAAAAGCCUUAACCGACCUGUGGUGAGGUCAUAGAGGGUGGUGACAGCAGUGAUGAACUGGCAGCAGAAGCGUGGGCUGGCACUGUGGAUGUUCUGCAGGGUGGGCCCCGAGCCUGGCACCAUACUACAGUAGUCGUCUACGAGCACCUGAGCCAGGCGCACACAGUACACACGGUGGGUUCUCUGCAGGACACAAACACAACCAGAGGCAUGUUUAGUACAUCCAUAGUACGCAAACACAUGGCCACACAUGGAAGAGGCUCUGAAGGGUGGAAAUAUAUCACACAGAACUUUUGUCUACCAAAUCGGACUCGCUUCACGCUCAAGGUCUGAAACUCAAACUGAAUGGAAGUAUUAAAACACACACAAAAAAGGUAUAAAAAAGUAUAAUGUGUAACAUUUCCAAAUUAAAAUAUGUAAAAACAA